GAAGAGUUGUGGCUCGGUGGUAAAGCACAUGUUCUACAUAUAGAAGAUCUCAGGUUCAAUCCCUGGCAUCUUCU